rnacentral:rRNA from 1 species
UCAGAACGAACGCUGGCGGCGUGGAUAAGACAUGCAAGUCGGACGAGAUUUUUCGUUGUAGCAAUACGAUGAAAAGUCUAGUGGCGAACGGGUGCUUAACACGUGGGCAACCUGCCGAGAAGUGGGGGAUAGCUCGCCGAAAGGCGAAUUAAUACCGCAUAUGAUCAGAGAGGACAUCCUUUCGAAAUUAAAGUCGGGGCAACCUGACGCUUCUUGUGGGGCCCGCGGCCUAUCAGCUAGUUGGUGAGGUAACGGCCCACCAAGGCUUUGACGGGUAGCUGGUCUGAGAGGACGACCAGCCACACUGGGACUGAGACACGGCCCAGACACCUACGGGUGGCAGCAGUCGAGAAUUUUUGACAAUGGGGGAAACCCUGAUCGAGCGACGCCGCGUGGAGGAUGAAGGUCUUCGGAUUGUAAACUCCUGUCAUUGGGGAACAAUGCGUGACGGUUAACUGCCGUUGCGUUGAUAGUACCCGAAGAGGAAGAGACGGCUAACUCUGUGCCAGCAGCCGCGGUAAUACAGAGGUCUCAAGCGUUGUUCGGAUUCAUUGGGCGUAAAGGGUGCGUAGGCGGCGCGGUAAGUCGGGUGUGAAAUCUCGGGGCUUAACUCCGAAACUGCAUUCGAUACUGCCGUGCUUGAGGACUGGAGAGGAGACUGGAAUUUACGGUGUAGCGGUGAAAUGCGUAGAUAUCGUAA